UGCCACAUCCUGAACCUGUACUGACGAACCACUUGGCUGCACUAGGCGCUAAGGGAAGGCACUCGGGUCCAGAGUGUAGAGCAGAUACGUGAGGUGGCUUCAGGAGCGGCCAGGAUCCGUGGGGAGACCUUGGGCAUCAUCGGACUAGGUCGUGUGGGCCAGGCAGUGGCGCUGCGGGCAAACGCUUUUGGCUUCAACGUCCUUUUCUAUGACCCAUACCUUUCGGAUGGCAUCGAGCGGGCCCUGGGGCUGCAGCGUGUGAGCACACUACAGGACCUGCUCUUCCACAGUGACUGUGUGACGCUGCACUGCGGCCUCAACGAGCACAACCACCACCUCAUCAACGACUUUACUGUCAAGCAGAUGAGACAAGGGGCCUUCCUGGUGAAUACAGCCCGAGGUGGCCUGGUGGACGAGAAGGCGCUGGCCCAGGCCCUAAAGGAGGGACGGAUCCGUGGCGCAGCGCUGGACGUGUAUGAGUCAGAGCCCUUCAGCUUUAGCCAGGGUCUCUUGAAGGAUGCACCCAACCUCAUCUGCACCCCCCAUGCUGCAUGGUACAGUGAGCAGGCGUCCAUUGAGAUGCGCGAGGAGGCAGCCCGGGAGAUCCGGCGAGCCAUUACAGGCCGGAUCCCAGAUAGCUUGAAAAACUGUGUCAACAAGGACCACCUGACAGCCGCCAUCCAUUGGGCCAGCAUGGACCCUGCUGUGGUGCACCCCGAGCUCAAUGGGGCCGCCUACAGCAGGUACCCCCCAGGCGUGGUGGGUGUGGCCCCCACUGCCAUCCCAGCUGCCGUGGAAGGCAUUGUCCCCAGUGCCAUGUCCUUGUCCCAUGGCCUACCCCCUGUGGCCCACCCACCCCACGCUCCUUCUCCUGGCCAGACUGUCAAGCCUGAGGCAGAUAGAGACCAUGCAAGUGACCAGUUGUAGCCCGAGAGGAGCUCUUCAGCCUCGGCGCAUGGUAGAGGGCACCACACACCCUCGGACCUGAGUGUGGAGGUGGCGUCCAGUGUUAAUCCUUGCGCUCCAGAGACUGGCCUGGGCUUGCAGGAGGCAGGGGCGAGAGGCAGCACGUCCCCAAGUUGAUUGUAGUUGUCCCGUCCUGUGGGCUGGCUCACUGUCCUGUGUCCUUUGCGUUCCUCGUUAAGCAAAAGAAGUUAGUAGCUAAUUCUAUCACGAAUGUUCUUGUCUGUUACAGUAUUUAGAACAUCACAAAGGAUUUGUUUGCUUAGCUGUCAACAAAAAGAAGCCCUGAGGGAGCAUUCAGCAAGUCAGUUUGAGAUUAUUUUUCUUUUUCUACGUUGGAACGU